rnacentral:rRNA from 1 species
GACGAACGCUGGCGGCGUGCUUAACACAUGCAAGUCGAACGAUGAAGAGGAGAAACGCGAACUUCGGUUCCACUUUCACUUCGGAUUAGUGGCAGACGGGUGAGUAACGCGUGAGCAACCUACCUCUUACAAAGGGAUAGCCUCGGGAAACCGUGAUUAAUACCAUAUGACACAUUCAUAAGGCAUCUUAAGAAUGUUAAAGCUACGGCGGUAAGAGAUGGGCUCGCGUCCCAUUAGCUAGUUGGUGAGGUAACGGCCCACCAAGGCGACGAUGGGUAACCGGCCUGAGAGGGUGAACGAUCACAUUGGAACUGAGACACGGUCCAAACUCCUACGGGAGGCAGCAGUGGGGAAUAUUGCACAAUGGAGGGAACUCUGAUGCAGCGACGCCGCGUGAGCGAUGAAGGAAUUCGUUUCGUAAAGCUCUGUUCUAUGGGAAGAAAAGGACUGUACCAUAGGAGAAAGCCCCGGCUAAAUACGUG